rnacentral:rRNA from 1 species
GUGGGGAAUUUUUCGCAAUGGGGGAAACCCUGACGAAGCAACGCCGCGUGGAGGAUGAAGGUCUUCGGAUCGUAAACUCCUGUCGACCGGGACGAAAGCAGUCUGGGCGAAUACCCCGGGCUGUUGACUGUACCGGUGGAGGAAGCCACGGCUAACUCUGUGCCAGCAGCCGCGGUAAUACAGAGGUGGCAAGCGUUGUUCGGAAUUACUGGGCGUAAAGGGCGCGUAGGCGGUCGGGUCAGUCUCGUGUGAAAUCCCUCAGCUCAACUGAGGAACUGCACGGGAAACUGCCUGGCUUGAGUUCGGGAGAGGGAAGCGGAAUUCCGGGUGUAGCGGUGAAAUGCGUAGAUAUCCGGAGGAACACCGGUGGCGAAGGCGGCUUCCUGGACCGAUACUGACGCUGAGGCGCGAAAGCUAGGGGAGCAAACGGGAUUAGAAACCCCAGUAGUCC